rnacentral:rRNA from 1 species
AACGAACGCUGGCGGCAGGCUUAACACAUGCAAGUCGAGCGGGAUCUUCGGAUCUAGUGGCAGACGGGUGAGGAACACGUGGGAACAUCCCUUUCAGUUCGGAAUAACGUUGGGAAACUAACGCUAAUACCGGAUACGUCCUUCGGGAGAAAGAUUUAUCGCUGAAAGAUUGGCCCGCGUCUGAUUAGCUAGUUGGUGAGGUAAUGGCUCACCGAGGCUACGAUCAUUAGCUGAUCUGAGAGGAUGAUCAGCCACAUUGGGACUGGGACACGGCCCAACUCCCGAGGGGAGACAGCGGUGGCAAAUAUUGGACACUGGGCGCAAGCCUGAUCAUGCCAUGCCACCUCAGUGAUGACGACCUUCGGGUUGGAAAGCUCUUUUGUCAGGGAAGAUAAUGACUGUACCGGAAGAAUAAGCCCCGGCAGACGUCGUGCCAGCCGCCGCCGUAA